rnacentral:tRNA from 1 species
AGUUAAUAAGCUUAAUUGAAGCAUAUGUUUUGAAAACAUAAGAUAGAAGUUCAAUUCUUCUAUUAACUU